GUUGCAUGAGGUUUGCUUUCUAGCUUGAUAACAUAUAGGGUUGGGGGUAACCAUGGGGUAGUACAUAAGCAAAUAAGGAAAUGUGAAUUUUUUUUUUCAAUUUUCAAGUUUGCUAUGAAGAUUAUGGAAUCAGAGAGAGCUCUUGGAGAUGGUACAGCUCUACCUCUUCAUUUUCUAUCUGAGGAAAAAGACUCAGAGAUACUUGAGAUACUAACUGACACCCCCAAAGCCACAAGCUAUUGAAAUGGAUGCAGUCAGAACUGAAUGUUGAAGAAGUGGUAAAUGACAGGAGCUGGAAGGUGUUUAAUGAACGCUGCCGAAUUCACUUCAAGCCUCCAAAGAAUGAAUAAAGAGAGAUUCUUUUUUUUUUUUUUUUUUUUUUUUUUUUAAGGACUGGGUCAUCUCAUAAGAGCUAAGCAUGACAGAUAUCAACAGGGCGGGCUUUCUAGGAUGAUUUCUGAGCCAACAGUCCAAGACCUUUUGUUGAUUUCAGCCCCACUUAGCCAAGACCUCAAGUAUAAAUAAUUCUGAUAAUUAUGGAGAAAUCAACUGCUAUUUUAUACUGAUUCUGUA
rnacentral:lncRNA from 1 species